AAGGGAGACCUAAUUCCGGUAGGAGACGAAAAAAAAGUAGUCCCUACCAAGAAUCAAUCCCAAAAGGUCGGAGCGAGGCAAAAUUGGCUUUCAAACUAGGUUCUGGGUUCACACAAGACCUGAAUCAGGAACAAGGGCUAUUAGCUCAGGUGGUUAGAGCGCACCCCUGAUAAGGGUGAGGUCCCUGGUUCGAGUCCAGGAUGGCCCACCUGCACAGGUGGCAAAAACAAGAGAAGCGAGGAAUCAGCACCUUAUCUUACUGACAUAGUAAGAGAGAAUGCUGGCUCUGAGUAAAGAGUCCAGAGGAACCUUGAAAACUGCAUAGGGCUAGGUGAAAAAGCCAAAAAAGAAGACCGCAAGGUCAAGCUAAUAAGGGCUAACGGUGGAUACCUAGGCAC
rnacentral:tRNA from 1 species